rnacentral:lncRNA from 1 species
UGUACUCAUUAAGUACUAUCAGCAUGUGAAGUUUGAAGGUCCUGGGUGAAGAGGUUUGCAGGUAAAGUGCCUUCAUGCAAAAAGUUAACGUUGGCCCCUGUGACCUUGACCUUUGACCUGGUGAUUUCAAAGUCAGUAGUGGUGUUGCACUCAAUAAGUACUAUCAGCAGGUGAAGUCUGAAGGUCCUGGGAGCAGUGGUUCGCGAGUAAAGUGCCUUCAUGCAAAAAGUUAACGUUGGCCCCUGUGACCUUGACCUUUGACCUGGUGAUUUCAAAGUCAGUAGUGGUGUUGCACUCAAUAAGUACUAUCAGCAGGUGAAGUCUGAAGGUCCUGGGAGCAGUGGUUCGCGAGUAAAGUGCCUUCAUGCAAAAAGUUAACGUUGGCCCCUGUGACCUUGACCUUUGACCUGGUGA